GGCUGGUCCAAGUGCAGUGGUGUUUACAGCUAAUUGAUCACAGCCAGUUACAGAUUCCUUUGUUCCUUCUCCACUCCCACUGUCACACUUAACUAACCUUAA
rnacentral:Y_RNA from 1 species